UACGAAGGGGGCUAGCGUUGUUCGGAAUCACUGGGCGUAAAGCGCACGCAGGCGGAUUGAUAAGUCAGGGGUGAAAUCCCGGAGCUCAACUUCGGAAUUGCCUUUGAUACUGUCUGUCUUGAGUCCGGGAGAGGUGAGUGGAAUUCCUAGUGUAGAGGUGAAAUUCGUAGAUAUUAGGAAGAACACCAGUGGCGAAGGCGGCUCACUGGCCCGGUACUGACGCUCAUGUGCGAAAGCGUGGGGGAGCAAAACAGGG
rnacentral:rRNA from 1 species